GUUUUCUCCUCGGUUUGGAGCCUGGUGACCGUGACUUCCCCGCCAUGUUCUGUGUGUUGCUGGCUGGAGAAGGGUAGUUGACAAACUCCGACCCAGCACAGUGUUUCUGUGGGUCAAAACUAGAAAACUAUGUCCGGGCUCCGCCGAGGCGGAAGGAUCCCUUCAGGCCAGGAGUUAAAGAGCGGCCUGGGCAACAUGGCGCGACUCCAUCUCUGUAGUCCCUCCUCAGCUUCCCAGAUACUUGAACCCCAAGGUUCAAGGCUGCAAUGAGCUAUGAUCCCAUCACAGCACUCUAUCCUGCGAGACUGAAGUAAACCUUGUCUAAAAAAAUAAACUAUCCAAGUGUGCAACAGGGAGGGACCGCUUAAAGAAAACAUGAGACGGGGUUUCACCAUGUUGGCCAGGCUGGUCUGGAACUCCUGACCUGAAGUGAUCUGCCCACCUCGGCUUCCCAAAGUGCUGGGACUGCAGGUGUGAGCCACUGCGCCUGGCCCCUUCAGGUGGGUUUUGAGGCUUCACGUUGCUGCUGCAAUAAAUUACCACACACUUAGUGGCUUAAAACAGCACAGAGGUAUUCCCUUACAUUUCUGAAGGCCAGAAUUCUAAAAUCAGUCCCACUGAGUCAAGGUGGGAGCAGGGUCAGUGCCUUCCCAGGCUCUGCGGGAGAAUCUGUUUCCUGGCCCUGGAGGCGGCCUGUACUCCUUAGCUUGUGCUGCCCUUCUGGAAUGACUCGAGUUUCCUGCUUUCAUCACUACACCUCCCACCGCUCUCCAUCACCUGCUGUGCUCUUACGAGGAUCCAGCUGAGACAUGUUUUAGGAAGUUUGCUAAAAGACCCCUGGAGACGUCCUCAUUGUGGCCUCCCUGCUGUUGUGUUUAAUUUGGUUGAUCUUCUCUGCCCUCCUGCUUUUCAGAAUUAAAAGGCUAAAAAGAGUUUUCAGAGAAAUGGAAUAAUUGUAUUGCUGAUCUACGUAAACAAGUUGAAGAAUUGUCUGAAAGAAAAUAUGGUGUGUCUGAACUGGAAAAGUCCUGUGAUAGUUUGUUCAUGAGCAUUUACACAAUGGAGUUACUGUUCAUCAUGGGGGUACUGUGGACAAGCCCAGGGCUGCUGGCUGGAGUGCAACGGCACGAUCUUGGCUCACCGCAACCUCCGCCUCCCAGGUUCAAGCGAUUCUCCUGCCUCAGCCUCCCGAGUAGCUGGAAUUACAGGCAUGUGCCACCACACCCGGCUAAUGUUUUUGUAUUUUUAGUAGAGACAGGGUUUCAC
rnacentral:lncRNA from 1 species